AAGACCUCAUGCUUUUGGAGCGGCCGAUGUCUGAUUAGCUAGUUGGUGAGGUAAUGGCUUACCAAGGCAACGAUCAGUAGUUGGUCUGAGAGGACGACCAGCCACACUGGGACUGAGACACGGCCCAGACUCCUACGGGAGGCAGCAGUGGGGAAUUUUGGACAAUGGGCGCAAGCCUGAUCCAGCAAUGCCGCGUGAGUGAAGAAGGCCUUCGGGUUGUAAAGCUCUUUCAGUCGAGAAGAAAAAGCUGCAGUAAAUAACUGUAGUUCAUGACGGUAUCGACAGAAGAAGCACCGGCUAACUACGUGCCAGCAGCCGCGGUAAUACGUAGGGUGCGAGCGUUAAUCGGAAUUACUGGGCGUAAAGGGUGCGCAGGCGGCUUUGUAAGUCAGAUGUGAAAUCCCCGGGCUUAACCUGGGAAUU
rnacentral:rRNA from 1 species